rnacentral:rRNA from 3 species
UACGUAGGUGGCAAGCGUUGUCCGGAUUUACUGGGUGUAAAGGGCGUGCAGCCGGGUCUGCAAGUCAGAUGUGAAAUCCAUGGGCUCAACCCAUGAACUGCAUUUGAAACUGUAGAUCUUGAGUGUCGGAGGGGCAAUCGGAAUUCCUAGUGUAGCGGUGAAAUGCGUAGAUAUUAGGAGGAACACCAGUGGCGAAGGCGGAUUGCUGGACGAUAACUGACGGUGAGGCGCGAAAGUGUGGGGAGCAAACAGG